CUCAUUGUGGUUUUGAUUUGUAUUUCCCUGAUGCCGGUGAUGUGGGGCACUUUUUCAUGUGUCUGUUAGCCAUUUGGAUGUCUUCUUUGCAGAAAUGUCUUUGCAGAAUGUCUUCUGCCCAUUUUUUGAUUGGAUUAUUUAUUUCUUUGGGUGUUGAAUUUGUUCUCCACGGAUGACUGGGUCAGAAGCAGAUGACCCUCCUUCUGACCUAUCAUCAGAAAGUCAGGGGGUGCCUGGCUGGCUCAGUCCAUGGAGCAUGCAACUCUGGAUCUCGGGGUUAUGAGGUCGAGCACCACAUCAGUUUGGUAAAUUAAAAAGCAUUGUUGUGAUACAGUCUCAUUUAUGGCAGUUAAGGUAAGAAAACUCUCUGUGCUAUUUUUUUUUUAACUCAUUUUUCUUAACUGCCCUCAAAACA
rnacentral:lncRNA from 1 species